rnacentral:rRNA from 1 species
AUUGAACGCUGGCGGCAGGCCUAACACAUGCAAGUCGAGCGAGCGGCGGACGGGUGAGUAAUGUCUGGGAAACUGCCUGAUGGAGGGGGAUAACUACUGGAAACGGUAGCUAAUACCGCAUACCAUCAGAUGUUCCCAGAUGGGAUUAGCUAGUAGGGGGGGUAACGGCUCACCUAGGCGACGAGCCCUGGCUGGUCUGAGAGGAUGACCAGCCAAACUGGAACGGAGACACGGUCCAGACUCCUACGGGAGGCAGCAGUGGGAAAUAUGGCACAAUGGGCGAAAUCCUGAUGCAGCCAGGCCGCGUGGGUGAAGAAGGCCUUCGGGUUGUAAAGCACUUUCAGCGGGGAGGCGUUACCCGCAGAAGAAGCACCGGCUAACUCCGUGCCAGCAGCCGCGGUAAUUC